UACGUAGGGGGCAAGCGUUGUCCGGAUUUAUUGGGCGUAAAGAGCGUGUAGGCGGCUUUACAGGUCCGUUGUGAAAACUCGAGGCUCAACCUCGAGACGUCGGUUGAAACCGUCUGGCUAGAGUCCGGAAGAGGAGAGUGGAAUUCCCGGUGUAGCGGUGAAAUGCGCAGAUAUCGGGAAGAACACCCGUGGCGAAGGCGGCUCUCUGGGACGGUACUGACGCUGAGACGCGAAAGCGUGGGGAGCGAACAGG
rnacentral:rRNA from 1 species